GGAGGUGACGAGAGACCAAGUCGACUAGCUGGUAGGGGUACCGCUGGCGCUCUUAUCGGCGGCCCUGGACAAGGCGGUAGCGGCCUGUAGCGGAGGCCGGACGACGCCAUAGCGGCGAACACAGCUUGAACAGAGUGAGUGUGGUAGUGUCUUCUUUGGUCGGAGAACCGGAACGGAGCCGGGCACGACGGCUCGUACCAGAGUGGCCUCGUGUGGCGGGGCUCAAGAAGGGGGUACUGGUAACGGCACGAGGAGGGAUAAGCUACUCGCGCUCCUCCUGCGCCUGCUACCGUUGAAGGCGAAAUCGCUUCUUCUCAAACCAUCCUCUUUUACGUCCGGACGCUUUGUUCCUUGCCCUCCGAUCUUAUUCCUUCGUCGAAGUCUUAGGACUUAACUGUGGUAGAGGCAUGCUGUGUCGUACCCAACGAUACCACGGGAACGCCCUAAAGGGAUCACGAGGUGUGAAGGGAGCCACGGAACUUACCUAUAACGUUUCGGUUGUCCUAUUACCAAGAACCCCGUAGUCGCUUAAACUGAACAGUGGGCUGUUCAGAUGAGAGAAUAGGUGUAACCGCACACAAUAACGUGAGUUCUUUACCUUACAACCGGGCCUUGUGUAGUCCUCUCCUGACGUAAAAUAACCUUUUUUUAAGAGGAAGAGAUACCUACUCGUCUAACGAUGAGGAUAUCCAAAGUUAUAAUGAAAAGGACCAUACUAAUCCGUUCGGUAACCUUACCCGAACCUUAAAGGUCGCUCUGUUUGACUACAACUACCCUAAGAAGUGCAGGCCGUCUACCUUAACUUUUCUGAACGACCCCUAUUUAGACUACCCUCUCUUCGUAUGUACCGAAUACAACGACUUCCCAAUCCUCAGGGCGACCUGACCUUACUUGAAUAGUUCAAGGUCUCCUUAUUACCUAGUAACAAGUUGAGAGGAAGUCGUUGACGACGACGAAAUUAGGUGUUAAUACUACUGUUUCGGGAGGUCAUGGACUUGAACGAACAAUCAUUUACACCAUCAAGUCAUGGUUGUCACAUGGGCUGUUUACAUAUAACGGUCGAAAGUUACCACCUAAGAGAACUUUUCUAGCCCUAUAGAGUGGUAAAAACAUCACUCUAUUUCUGGUAGAAUUUGUACUGUAUAUCAAACACCCAUGUUUCUCUACUCCUUUAGUACGACCUACAUCGCUGUACGCGUUACCGCAAAGCAGUCAAUGCCUACUUACCUAUACUGCAAAGGAGUCUACUCGAUGCAGUACAACUACUUCGGAGGUGAAAAGUAUUAAGUGAAGUUCCCAUAAAUUUACUAUGUUUUAGAUAUAACCUUAAUAUGUUCCGUAGUUGUCAGUCACAUCUUCUUUUACUUAAAUAAGAACUAUUAUAAUCUGUGACCAGUUCGUUGAAUAAUUCCCUUUUUAAUUAGGUACUGCCGCACGUUUCAUCCGGCCAGAAACGUCUCCACCUCAUACGAGAAUUUAAAGGGAAAAUACGGUGUUACCUUGCGGACCUAGUCUUCACCUUGUAACUUUUGAAACUAAACUCCCCAAGCGUCUACAACUUCUGUCUUGUUAACGGUACAACACAUUUGGUUCUAUAAGAUCGGAACCGAUAACUUCUAAAGUGGAAGAGAGUUAGAUAAAUGGUCCUACUUGAGGUCGAAGAACUUGCAACCCACUUCCUCUGGUCCGAUCUGGUCGAUGACAAACGUGCUGUCUCCUGUUGUAAAACGAUAGAACGACGACGCCGAUGGUACAAGGGAGGACUUGACAGACUACGAGCGUAAAGUACCCGGUUUUUAAGAUAUGAGAAUUUAUAACAACUACUGAAGAAGCUAUAACUCCCCAGUUCUCUUCUUGAUCUUUUGGAACAUUGUGAUGAGCUCUUCACCCUACUCGUGAGGUUUCUGCUUAAGAUGAGACUCGUUCAUUUUUAUAACAAAAUACGGUAAAUGUGAUGUUGCUUGGUAGAACCUUGUUACCGAAGUAAACAUGUUCUGGCACUGCAGUUUUUCGUGGAUUAUCUUUAAACCGAUGUUGAUGACCCCUGAUACUAUUGGCUGCGUCUAACCGCCUACUCUGUUAUACACGGCUGUCAGCUUCUCAUGUACCUUUGACGUUAACAUAGUAAGUGUAACCGAGGGUAAGACGAGGGUCGUAGUAUAAAACAGCCCGUUUGUGAGAACCGUAGACAACACUUACCAGUUCUCAUGUUACUCAAUAAGUCCGAUUACCCGUGAACAACGGCUGAGGAGUUGCUGUAAGUUCCGAAACUCUCCCUCUCGUCGCUCCCUUUUGAGCUAUCACAAAGUGAUGCACAAGAGGUGUCACUGCCAAGAUACAGGUAACUUCGCCGAUUUCUCAGUUAUUCCUCUAGACAUCGGAGCACAUCUUUUCUGAACGACUCCAACCAGGAAUUCCUUCUAUCACAACAAGGAUCCCGUACGUCCCUCGACAAAACCUUGUACACGUUCUAUACGGUGAAGAAGAUGAGAGUGUGACUACGUAAAAGGAGUGGUUGACUCUACCAAUCGUGUCACUUGCGUCAAUAGGUACUCGGUGAGUUUGAGCUCUAAGCACUAGAUAGAAACGGACACGUCAGUCUUUUUAUUUCUAACGAACAUAAAAUGGUACAAACAUACCUAGUUUGUUAACCUACGCGAGAAUUUCUUUUAUUAGUCUAUA
rnacentral:rRNA from 1 species